rnacentral:rRNA from 1 species
GACAGAGGGUGCAAACGUUGUUCGGAAUUACUGGGCGUAAAGCGCGUGUAGGCGGCUAUGCAAGUCGGAUGUGAAAGCCCUCGGCUCAACCGGGGAAGUGCACCCGAAACUGCAAAGCUAGAGUCUCGGAGAGGAUCGUGGAAUUCUCGGUGUAGAGGUGGAAAUUCGUAAGAUAUCGAGAGGAACACCGGUGGCGAAGGCGGCGAUGGACGAUGA